rnacentral:rRNA from 1 species
GAAGAACGGCCGUGUGGUUAAUACCCAUGCGGAUUGACGGUACCUGCAGAGGAAGCACCGGCUAACUCCGUGCCAGCAGCCGCGGUAAUACGGAGGGUGCGAGCGUUAAUCGGAAUUACUGGGCGUAAAGGGCGCGUAGGCGGCCGAUCAAGUCAGAUGUGAAAGCCCACGGCUUAACCGUGUGAAGUGCAUCUGAAACUGGUCGGCUUGAGUAUCGGAGAGGAAAGUGGAAUUCCCGGUGUAGAGGUGAAAUUCGUAGAUAUCGGGAGGAAUACCGGUGGCGAAGGCGACUUUCUGGACGAAUACUGACGCUGAGGCGCGAAAGCGUGGGGAGCAAACAGGAUUAGAUACCCUGGUAGUCCACAGCUGUAAACGAUGUGCACUAGAUGUGGGGAAGUGUUGACCUUUCCUGUGUCGCAGCUAACGCAUUAAGUGCACCGCCUGGGGAGUACGGCCGCAAGGUUAAAACUCAAA